UACGGGGGGAGCAAGCGUUGUUCGGAUUUACUGGGCGUAAAGGGCGCGUAGGCGGCCAGAACAAGUCAGUUUUGAAAUCUCCGAGCUUAACUCGGAACGGUCAACUGAUACUGUGCGGCUAGAGUGCAGAAGGGGCAACUGGAAUUCUUGGUGUAGCGGUGAAAUGCGUAGAGAUCAUGAGGAAGACCAGUGGCGAAGGCGGGUCUCUGGACAGUUCCUGACACUGAGGCACGAAGGCCAGGGGAGCAAACGGG
rnacentral:rRNA from 1 species